UACGGAGGGUGCAAACGUUGCUCGGAAUCAUUGGGCGUAAAGCGCACGUAGGCGGCCUGUUAAGUCGGAUGUGAAAGCCCCGGGCUCAACCCGGGAAGUGCAUUCGAAACUGGCGGGCUUGAAUAUGGAAGAGGGUCGCGGAAUUCCCGGUGUAGAGGUGAAAUUCGUAGAUAUCGGGAGGAACACCAGUGGCGAAGGCGGCGACCUGGGCCAAUAGUUGGACGCUGAGGUGCGAAAGCGUGGGGAGCAAACAGGG
rnacentral:rRNA from 1 species